UAGUCCACGCCGUAAACGAUGAGAACUAGGUGUUGGGAUUUACCUCAGUGCCGAAGCUAACGCGUUAAGUUCUCCGCCUGGGGAGUACGGCCGCAAGGUUGAAACUUAAAGGAAUUGACGGGGGCCCGCACAAGCGGUGGAGCAUGUGGUUUAAUUCGAUGCUACGCGAAAAACCUUACCUACCCUUGACAUACUUGGAACUCUCUAGCAAUAGAGAGGUGCCUUCGGGAACCAAGAUACAGGUGUUGCAUGGCUGUCGUCAGCUCGUGUCGUGAGAUGUUGGGUUAAGUCCCGUAACGAGCGCAACCCCUAUCCUUAGUUGCCAGCACGUAAUGGUGGGGACUCUAGGGAGACUGCCGGUGAUAAAUCGGAGGAAGGUGGGGAUGAGGUCAAGUCAUCAUGGCCCUUACGGGGUAGGGGCUACACACGUGCUACAAUGGGGCAGUACAAAGGGGAAGCGAUACCGCGAGGUUGAGCAAAUCCCAAAAAGCUAGCUCCCAGUCCGGGAUUGGGAGUCUGCAACUCGACUCC
rnacentral:rRNA from 1 species